rnacentral:rRNA from 1 species
GAUGAACGCUAGCGGCAGGCCUAACACAUGCAAGUCGAGGGGUAACAGGAAAAAGCUUGCUUUUUCGCUGACGACCGGCGAACGGGUGCGUAACACGUAUGCAACCUACCUCUAUCAGGAGGAUAGCCCAGAGAAAUCUGGAUUAAUACUCCAUAGUAUCAUUCUUUCGCAUGUUAGAAUGAUUAAAGCUCCGGCGGAUAGAGAUGGGCAUGCGUCCCAUUAGCUAGUUGGUGAGGUAACGGCUCACCAAGGCAACGAUGGGUAGGGGUUCUGAGAGGAUGAUCCCCCACACUGGUACUGAGACACGGACCAGACUCCUACGGGAGGCAGCAGUGAGGAAUAUUGGUCAAUGGACGAAAGUCUGAACCAGCCAUGCCGCGUGCAGGAUGACUGCCCUAUGGGUUGUAAACUGCUUUUAUAUACCAAGAAACCCCUGGACGUGUCCGGGGCUGACGGUAGUAUAUGAAUAAGCACCGGCUAACUCCGUGCCAGCCGCCGCCGUAACAC